UACAGAGGGGGCAAGCGUUGUUCGGAAUUACUGGGCGUAAAGGGCGCGUAGGCGGCCUGCUAAGUCGAACGUGAAAGCCCCGGGCUCAACCUGGGAAUUGCAUUCGAGACUGCAUUGCUGGAGUACGGAAGAGGAGGGCGGAAUUCCCGGUGUAGCGGUGAAAUGCGUAGAUAUCGGGAGGAACAUCAGUGGCGAAGGCGGCCCUCUGGUCCAGUACUGACACUCAAGUGCGAAAGCGUGGGGAGCAAACAGG
rnacentral:rRNA from 1 species